rnacentral:lncRNA from 1 species
AGUCCUGCUACUCAGUAGCCAGAAGCAAGUAGAAGUUUGUAGAGGCAUGCUUACAUUUUGUGUGGUGUUUCUUUAUGCAGAAUGAUUAAGAUUAUCUAAUUGUGAUUGAUGAGUGUUUUGUUACUCUCUCCAGGAGUCAUCUACUUUUCAUAGAUGCUCCCCUCCCUUUUUUUUUUUUUUUUGGUUGGGGGUUAUUCGUUCAUUCUCAUUCUGUGUCUCUCUCUCUCUCUCUCUCUCUCUCUCUCUCUCUCUCUCUCUCUCUCUCUCUCUCUCUGGGGCCACUUUGUACAAGAAGCUAGAUCAAAACAGUUAAACAGGAGGUUACCAUGUUAAAUCAAUCAGUCUUAUGGAUCUGAGUGUCUGGAUUUGAAGCCUGAAACUAGUUUAUGCUUAGUAAAGUACAUUGAGCUUUAGAUACAUUCUCUUAUCUUUUACAUUCACAAUGUGGCUGCUGUCCCCUUUAGGAAGUAGUAUGAGAGUACAGGGAAAUGAAUAGUUUCCUAGGGCUUUUGUAACUUCUCUCUGGAGAGAGUCCAGGGUAUGGGGGCUGGGGUACAACAUUGGCUUGAUAGUAUAGUGCAUUCUUUGCCCCCAACCCCCAACCCCUGUGUUUGUGUGAGAGAAUGUGCAUGUGAUGAUGGGUGCCCUCAGAGCUCCUUAGCCUGGUUCUUAUGAGCCACCCAAUGUGGAUGUUGGCAACUGAACUGAGGUCCUUUGCAAGAAUAGUAUGUGUUCUUAACUAUUGAGCUUUGUCUCUAACCACUGGUGUAAUUUGUGUGUGUGUUGGGUUUGGGGGAUAGAGUCUCGUGUAGAUCUAGGUUUUUUGGAAAUACUCUGUAGACCAAACUGGUCUCAGAAUGCAGAGAUCCUCCUGCCUCUGCUCUCCCACCCCGAGGGCAGGUAUGCCACACUGUGCUUAGCUUUUAGAAGGCACAUCUUACCAUUCAGUCACUUGUCCUGCCCCCCCCUCCCCAGUUACUUUAAGGCAAUAACAUUUAAACUGCGGUGCUGCUACACACUAUAAGAUUAAAAUCUUAAAACUUUUGCUCUAUCAUUCAACCUCUGGAUUUUAACAUGUGAAGUUUAUAGUGUUCCUUUUUACUGAACUACAGGCAAAGGUUCUAGUCCUAUAAUUUUCUUUUGGGAUAAGGCCUUCUGUGUAAGAAGAAAUGCUGGUAUAAAUGGAGACUUUUAAUCAGAAUUUUAUGUUAAUUGUAACAAUUAUUUGUCAGGUGGUGGUAGAAUUGUGUUGAAUCUGUGUAUGGGAUUUUUAAAUGUUCACUAUCCUGCCUCCUCCCACCCUCACCCCC